UUAUGUUACACGUCUCAAAGUAUGAUAUAAUGAUUCCUUAAGUCUUAAAAGACUUAAGGAAUCAUUAUAUCAUACUUUGAGACAUGAAACAUAA